UACGUAGGGUGCGAGCGUUAAUCGGAAUUACUGGGCGUAAAGCGUGCGCAGGCGGUUUUGUAAGCCAGAUGUGAAAUCCCCGGGCCCAACCUGGGAAUGGCAUUUGGGACUGCAAGGCUGGAGUGCGGCAGAGGAGACUGGAAUUCCUGGUGUAGCAGUGAAAUGCGUAGAUAUCAGGAGGAAUACCGAUGGCGAAGGCAGGUCUCUGGGCUGACACUGACGCUCAUGCACGAAAGCGUGGGGAGCAAACAGG
rnacentral:rRNA from 1 species